rnacentral:lncRNA from 1 species
GUCCAGGAGAUUAAAGAUACAAUUCAGAUGAACUGUUACAAGGUAACUCCAUGUCAACAGCUGAACUCUGAUCGGGUCAAGGGAUACAUUGGCAAUGAAGGGUAUGUAAACAUCACGUUUCCUCUGCAGGCAGAGAUGGAUGCAUUUUAAGGAGGAAAAUUAAUUCAUACAAAGUAGAAAUACAUAGGAAUCAUAAAAUCCAGAAGUAGGUACACAGGAAGAGGAGACGCUUUGCUAUUUCUAAACAUAACCAUCAACACGAAAAAUUCUCAUAAGGGAAUAGUGAUAAGAAAAAUAUUCAGAAUUCAGGAUAAUGAGAAUAUACGACUUUUCAUGUCAACGUACACUCAGAAAUGAGUUGUGACCUUUUUGAAGAUAAAUAUGUCCUGCUGUUCCUCCCUCAGAAAAUCAUAAAGCUGACAGCCAGAGGCCUGGCUGGGGAGUGGCUCCUGUGGGGCAAGAGGUAUCCAGCAGGAAGAAGGCGAAACCCUAACAGCCUCCGCUGGAGGCCAAAGCCAGCUUUCCUAGCUGGGAAAAGCACCUCCAAUCCCAGCACACGCUGUUCUGUAACAGAAAAUCCUUCCCGUGGACUUUGUGCUCCCAGUGGUAAGGAGCACAGAUGGGCUGGUCCUAUGCAGGGUUCCUGUUCCUGCCCAUGGGUGUGUCGAGGUGAUGGCUCCUCUUUUCCCCAUCAUCAAACACCCAGAGCCCCGGAUCAGUUUUCCACAGCGCAGGGUGGAGAGAGGGAAGGAGAAGGCCGCUGUUCAUCACCCUGGUGCCUGGUCCCCUGCACCGGGCAGAGGCCUCUCUUCCACCGGGAGCCUGGCCCCGGCCCCUUGGCUCGGUCACUGAGAAGUGCCUAACACAACCUGUCACCCACGCUCUCCUCCAGCAUCCCGAGUCAGCCACUCACAGCCAUUA